UCUCCCUGUAAAUAAAGCAAACUGAACUACAAAGCUCAAGAUUCUCCCGCGUUAAGUAAACUUCAAAUUAAAAGUAUGGCCUCAAGUGAAACCAGAAACAAACACCAAAACGGCAUCGGCGUCAUCAACAGAUGACGACUCAUUGAAGCUCACCGUUGCAAUUUCCCUCCUGCGAUCAAAACUUCUCCAGAAACAGCCUCCUCCUGCUCCUCCUCCUAACAAUCUUCCUUCAGAAUCCGCCGCUCUUCGCUGGAUUUUCGUCUAUCUAUAUUCUCUGUUUGGAACACAAUCAAAUGCAGCCAUUUGACUCGCGAUUAGGUUUUGACAAAACAAACAGAGCAUAAUUACGCUCUGUUUUUUUUUUUUUUUGAAAGACUGGAGCGAAAACAAGAGCUUCGACUGAGAGAAGAUCUCAAGGAAGCUGAAGUGCCGUUAAAGAUAAAGAAGGAAGAAGAAGAAAUAAUUCAAAUAGAAAACAACGAUUUUCAGAGUCACAUCAAAUUUAACUGAUACCCAGUUCUAUAUUCACCACUUGAUCCGAAAACUUGGAUGUGAACCUUACUUUGGGCAGCGUGCAAUAUCCAGUUUCUCAAAGAAUUUCCAUGGUAGCAGAAAAAGUGCUAUUCUUGGAGCCAUUUGAUAAGAGGCUUUUCCAAACUUGCAUGAGUGCCUGUUCAUCAUAUAGGUACUAUGAUGAUAUGAUCCAGCUUAUUGAGUUUUUGAUAUCAGGCUACUUGUUAACUUGGUUGAGGGAUGAAGGCUUUGACUGUGGUAUGUAUCUUUCCUGCCUUUUGUCCAUGUUGCUUAGGUUCUCGUUGGUUUCUGCUGAUUAAGCUUCCUCUUGGUUUUGCAUUCGAAUUUCAUGUUAGCUGUUUUACAAUUAGUAUUUCUCUAAAGCUGGAUCGGAAGUUAAUACAUUCUUGGCAUUCUGUAAUUUGAGAACAUUAUUGGUAUACUUCUCUUUGUUGGAUCUAUGAUCACGCUUUAGAAGCAUGCAUCAGAAACCAUAAACAUGGCAUCCGAUAGCUCCAUUGCAGCGGUAUUUGAGGAGUGGGUGAUCUCAUUUCUCCAUGCUCGCAAAGUGCUAGCACUUCUUGAGAGCAGAAAAGGGCUUCAUGUUUCGUACUUGGAUCGAGUCACAGGUGAACUGGCUAAACAUGUGGGCCAGGUUUCAACAUUUCAGGAGCUCAGCCAAGAUAUUCUUGAUAAACUAUUCUGCCGACUAAAUCAUGCAUUCAUCCAAAUGCCAGUAUUUCCUGUCUAAAAUACCAGUGGACACCAACUGUCUAAGAUACCAGUGCUUUAUUUGUUUUUGCAAAGCAUAUGCCAAAGGAACAUGUUUAACAGCAGAAGAGUAAGGCCUUUGCAUAGUAAGAUCUAAAUAAAGUCUGCGUAGUAUUAGUUGGAAGCAUUGUAUCUAGGAAAAAAGAUAGAAAGAUUUGAUUAAAUUAAAAAUCAUCUUCCACUUUAGGUGCUUUAGUAGUUUAUUGACAUUACACCAAUGCCUUGGAGUCAAUAUUUGGUAUCAGCAUCAAGAAUCAUCCUCCACCUAGCUUUAUUUUGUUUCAAUUGUUUUUUUGGCAAUCUAAGUAAUUUACCCCAUGAAUUUUAUUACAAGGGGUAUCCUGUAGAAAACUCCAAGCUAGUCUUGGGAUAAAGAAGUCCUAGCU